rnacentral:rRNA from 1 species
UACGUAGGGGGCAAGCGUUGUCCGGAUUUAUUGGGCGUAAAGCGCGCGUAGGCGGCUAGGUAGGUCCGUUGUGAAAACUCGAGGCUCAACCUCGAGACGGCGACGGAAACCAUCUGGCUAGAGUCCGGAAGAGGAGAGUGGAAUUCCUGGUGUAGCGGUGAAAUGCGCAGAUAUCAGGAAGAACACCCGUGGCGAAGGCGGCUCUCUGGGACGGUACUGACGCUGAGACGCGAAAGCGUGGGGAGCGAACAGG